CGUAAUGUAUUUAGGUGAGUGCGGAAGUGGGCGGAGGAGAGACGGUGACCAGGAAGUGUUCGAAUGUGUGGCGCCAAGGGAGGCCAUGGGCUGCAGGCUGCUGUGACCUCCUCUGUUCGGGUCUGUAACGGUAUAAGGAGACGUAAUGCAGAUUGACAGAGGAGAGCUGUCGGGACCGAAAAGAUCUCUGAGGUCGGCCAUCACAAAGGUGCAUUACCGCCGAAGAGGACGCACAUUGGAGGAGCCGAUACCUCGUUACCACAAGCCUGGGCGCGUGGCGCGGUUGACCCGCUAGCGUAGCGGUUAGUGAUUCCGCCUGCAACACCGAAGACUGGGGUUCGAAUCCCAGACGGUCCGACGUUUGAUAGUCUGUCACCACAAACACGGCUACAAAGUUAGUUGCAGUGGUCUUGAACAGUGGACUCUUGCUUUCCUGACGUCAUUCCCAGGCUCACCAGUUCGUGUCUGCCAGUCUGUUCAGCUUAGUCUCAGCCCUUGUCUGCGCAGCCUUUGUUUCCGAUCAACCAGUCUUCAGCUCUGGAUGAAAGAUUCCUUUCAUUUAUAUUAGACCACGUGCACUCUCCUGCCACUCCAUCGACUUGGACUAAAAUAGAUGAACUCUUAUUUGUUAGUCUAAAGACUCAGUUUUUGUGGAAUCAUUCUUGCACAAGCCUAAGUAAAAACUUUUAUUUUACUUU